UACGGAGGGUGCGAGCGUUGUCCGGAAUCAUUGGGCGUAAAGGGCGCGUAGGUGGCGGCUUAAGCGUGCGGUGAAAGCUCGGGGCUCAACCCCGAGUCGGCCGUGCGAACUGAGUCGCUUGAGCACUGUAGAGGCAGGCGGAAUUCCGGGUGUAGCGGUGGAAUGCGUAGAGAUCCGGAAGAACACCGGAUGGCGAAGGCGGCCUGCUGGGCAGUAGCUGACACUGAGGCGCGACAGCGUGGGGAGCAAACAGG
rnacentral:rRNA from 1 species